AUUGAACGCUAGCGGGAUGCUUUACACAUGCAAGUCGAACGAGUGGCGGAGGGGUGAGUAAUAUAACGGAACGUGCCCAGUCGCGGGGGAUAACUACUCGAAAGAGUGGAUAAUACCGCAUACGAUUGGAGCGGCCGUCAUCGGUGGAGGUAGCUGGUGGGGUAAAGGCUCACCAAGGCAACGAUCCGUAGCUGGUAUGAGAGGACGACCAGCAACACUGGGACGUAUCCACGGCCCAAACUCCUACGGGAGGCAGCAGUGGGGAAUUUUGGACAAUGGGGGAAACCCUGAUCCAGCCAUCCCGCGUGUGUGAGAAGGCCUUGGGGUUGUAAAGUCCUUUUGGCAGAGAAGCGGUAUCUGACGAAUAAGCCCCGGCUAACUACGUGCCAGCAGCCGAGGUAAUUC
rnacentral:rRNA from 1 species